rnacentral:rRNA from 1 species
GACGAACGCUGGCGGCGUGCUUAACACAUGCAAGUCGAACGGUGAAAGCGGAGCUUGCUCCGCUGGAUCAGCGGCGAACGGGUGAGUAACACGUGGGCAACCUGCCCCUCACUUCGGGAUAACUCCGGGAAACCGGGGCUAAUACCGGAUAUGACCUCCUUGGGCAUCCUUGGAGGUGGAAAGUUUUUCGGUGAGGGAUGGGCCCGCGGCCUAUCAGCUUGUUGGUGAGGUAGUGGCUCACCAAGGCGACGACGGGUAGCCGGCCUGAGAGGGCGACCGGCCACACGGGGACUGAGACACGGCCCAGACUCCUACGGGAGGCAGCAGUGGGGAAUAUUGCGCAAUGGGCGAAAGCCUGACGCAGCAACGCCGCGUGCGGGAUGACGGCCUUCGGGUUGUAAACCGCUUUCAGCAGGGAAGAAGCGAAAGUGACGGUACCUGCAGAAAAAGCACCGGCUAACUACGUGCCAGCCGCCGCCGUAA